CUACGGAGGGUGCAAGCGUUAUCCGGAAUCAUUGGGUUUAAAGGGUCCGUAGGCGGGCGAUUAAGUCAGAGGUGAAAUCCCACAGCUCAACUGUGGAACUGCCUUUGAUACUGGUUGUCUUGAGUUACAGUGAAGUAGAUAGAAUGUGUAGUGUAGCGGUGAAAUGCAUAGAUAUUACACAGAAUACCGAUUGCGAAGGCAGUCUACUAACUGUAUACUGACGCUAAUGGACGAAAGCGUGGGGAGCGAACAGGAUUAGAAACCCUAGUAGUCC
rnacentral:rRNA from 1 species